rnacentral:rRNA from 1 species
UACGGAAGGGGCAAGCGUUGUUCGGAAUCAUUGGGCGUAAAGGGCGCGUAGGCGGUCACGCACGUCCGUUGUGAAAUCGCUCGGCUCAACUGGGCGGGGUCAGCGGAUACGGCGUGGCUGGAGCAAGCUAGGGGGCAAUGGAAUUCCCGGUGUAGUGGUGGAAUGCGUAGAUAUCGGGAGGAACACCAGUGGCGAAGGCGGUUGCCUGGAGCUUUGCUGACGCUGAUGCGCGAAAGCGUGGGGAGCGAUCCGG